GACGAACGCUGGCGGCGUGCCUAAUACAUGCAAGUCGAGCGGACGGAUGGGAGCUUGCUCCCAGACCGUCAGCGGCGGACGGGUGAGUAACACGUGGGCAACCUGCCUGUAAGACUGGGAUAACUCCGGGAAACCGGGGCUAAUACCGGAUAACUCUUUCCCUCACAUGAGGGAAAGCUGAAAGAUGGCAUCUCGCUAUCACUUACAGAUGGGCCCGCGGCACAUUAGCUAGUUGGUGAGGUAACGGCUCACCAAGGCGACGAUGCGUAGCCGACCUCAGAGGGAGAUCGGCCACCCUGGGACUGAGACACGGCCCAGACUCCGGCGGGAGGCAGCAGUAGGGAAUCUUCCGCAAUGCAGGAGAGUCUGACGGAGCAACGCCGCGUGAGUGAUGAAGGUUUUCGGAUCGUAAAGCUCUGUAGUCAGGGAAGAACAAGUACCGGAGUAACUGCCGAUACCUUGACGGUACCUGACCAGAAAGCCACGGCUAACUACGUG
rnacentral:rRNA from 1 species